ACUGAACGCUGGCGGCAUGCCUUACACAUGCAAGUCGAACGGCAGCACGGGAGCAAUCCUGGUGGCGAGUGGCGAACGGGUGAGUAAAGUAUCGGAACGUGCUCAGUCGUGGGGGAUAACGUAGCGAAAGUUACGCUAAUACCGCAUACGAUCUAUGGAUGAAAGCGGAGGAUCGCAAGACCUCGCGCGAUUGGAGCGGCAGAUAUCAGAUUAGGUAGAUGGUGGGGUAAAGGCUCACCAAGCCGACGAUCCGUAGCGGGUCUGAGAGGACGACCAGCCACACUGGGACUGAGACACGGCCCAGACUCCUACGGGAGGCAGCAGUGGGGAAUUUUGGACAAUGGGCGAAAGCCUGAUCCAGCCAUGCCGCGUGCGGGAUGAAGGCCUUCGGGUUGUAAACUGCUUUUGUACGGAACGAAAAGGUUUGGCCUAAUAAGCUGAGCUCAUGACGGUACCGUAAGAAUAAGCACCGGCUAACUACGUGCCAGCCGCCGCCGUAA
rnacentral:rRNA from 1 species